GGGUGUCCGGCUCGGCCGGAUGAAAAGGGAACGGGGUGUGAUUCCCCGACAGGACCGCUGCUGUGUUGACGAAGCCUCCUCUGCGCGCUUGCGCGGCCACUGAUCCAUUGCGGAUUGGGAAGGCGGGGAUGGCACUGCGUCUGAGUCAGAAGACCUGCCCACAGAG
rnacentral:ncRNA from 1 species